CCCACGCCGGCCCCGGCUCACACCUCGGCUGCUCUAGAUCGCGGCGGACGAAGCCCCAACAGAAGGUAACGGAGCCCCAAAGUAGCAAACUUUCGUGCUUCUUUUGGAAAUGGCUCCACGUUGAAAUCGGACAUCCCGGGUUGUUGUGAUGAUUGCAUAUAUAUGAAGUGCUUCAAACAGUAUCUGGAAAGACUAAAUGCUUGUUAUUAGUAUUUCCCAACUAAAAGGACAUCACUUACCCUCUUGUGGAGCAUAUUUAAAAUGGCAAGAUUCGUGAGAUUGGUAUUUUAUGAGAAAUGCAGCAUCAACUUUGCUGGGUUGUGUGGGAAAGACUAAAUGAGAAUGAGAAUGCCCACUCGCUUUGGAGAACAGAACCCCCCCUACUUCCUACAAUAUCAGGAGCAAGUGAGCAGAAUAAGCUGCAGUCGGCCUACAGGCUGCAACUGAAACGCUUGAAUUAACAAGAUCUCAGAAGAAUUCCUUUCUUCCUGGGAAGAGAUGGAAACAUGGGGAUAAGUUUCCCAAGCAAGAAGAAACUGAGAGACCUCUAAACCCUCCACCCGCAUCUUUGAGGAGGAUUGAAUGAAGCUACUCUUAUUUCCCAACAACUGCUGAGAUAACUGCUGACCUAUUCGUGUCUCCCCUAGCAUACUUGACCUCAAGACUGAAUUUCCUGUUCCUGACCCUUCCCCCAGCAUGGAGCACAGAGCCCAAGGACACCCCUGUGGGAUUGGGAGGAGGGUGGGAAAGCUGGUACCUCUGCAUUCCUUGUAAGUCCUUGGAAAAUGCACUUCACCUCUCUCACUCUUUCUCCUCAUCUGUAAAAUAGAAAUGGUAACAUCUGUGCUGUUUCUCUAACACAUUAUGAGGAUCAGAUGAGUAAAUGCUUAAGAAAAUCUUCUGAAACUGU